UCUGCACUGAGAGGUGUAAAGAUGCCCUUUUGCCGAGUGACCUCCUGGGAUGCUGGUCCCGAGGCUGUGGGCAGAGUUCAAUACCAAAGGCAGUGCCAGCCCCCAUAAUUGGGCACACUGAUAGUGCUUUUCCUGGAUUACCUUUGCACCCAUGUGACUAAGCUUUCCCAACAAAGCAUGCAAGCAAUUAAGGAGCUGAAGCCUCAUUAAACAAACAAGCCCACAAAAGGGCUUGUGACAGGUAGUGCUGGUGUCUCCAGCACAAUUACCCGAUAAACAUAAGGCUUUGGAAAAAUCCAGCUUGGAAAGGCCCCCAGGAAACAGUGGUGGAGACUGAUGCCUCCUCAGCUCCUGGACAGAGGGCAACUGAUGACCAGAGCUGCUAAUUGUUGCAGGAAGAGGAAGAGACAGGCAAUCAAUUACUUGUGUGGUGCCCAAGCCCCAUCAAAUGUUUUAGAUGCCCAGCACCCCGCAGUAACAGUCUCCUUACCAGAUGCAGAAGGGAAAAAAAACAAAGAAUAAAAAGAGAACAGGGAAAUUCUUGAGAUUCUUUCCAAUGGAAAAAAUGCCUCCACUUAUCACUCAGUGUCAACAGCGGCAGACACCUGUGUUUAAACACCCAGCCACAGUGGCAAGCCAAAAGCUUUGCAGAUGUGCACAGACACUUCACACCAGCCUGAGAUCAAGCUGAUGCAAUGAGACCAUCGGGCUGGUGAAAGUCUACACACAAGGCGUCUUACUUAAACCAUAAUUACCCUUGUGGUUACUUCCAUUGCUGCCACAGCAUUGUCCCUCUCAGAUGUCAAUCGCCACCUUCCCCCAGGGGACAUUUAUGUUUUCCAAGAGGUUGCAAAGCUUUGCUCACAGGCCAUGGAAGUGUGACAUAGCACAUAAACAUCCAUAAACCCUUCUGAUGCUGACACCAAGCAAGAUCAAAGCUUGCUGGUGACAGUUCAGCGUGGCACAAGGCAGGGUACUCUGCACAGUGCCUCACAUGCCCAAAGGGAGAUACGAGGUGUUUUCCCUGUCCUUGGAGUAAGUUGCAUUGGUAGCAACAUCUUUCAUCUCAAGCCAUGAUAAGAGAAGGGGUUAAUUCACCACUGACACCAAGUGCUGAAGUGUUUUAUCUGGAGUACCGGUCAGUAAUACACUUUAGACAGAGAGAUACUAUAUAAAAUGGAGAGGUGACCCAUGGAGGUCUGGAUAGGUGUAAUUAGCUCUGCUGUCACAUAGGAAUGAGCAUGUUUGUACAGAUUAUGUCCGAUUUCUAGCAACACCUGCUCAUUUGCUUUAACCAGAUUUCUCAAAGAGGGACUAAUUAGCACUUCCUUGGAAGCCCAGCAAUGGCUUUACCUCUUGAUCGGUAUUCCUUCUGCUGGAAGGCAAAUUAGUUACUAUACCAGGGAAAGCUGAUGGAAGCAGGAAACCAUCUUCAUGCCUAAAAUUAAAGGAAAAGGCAGAGCUCACUA